rnacentral:rRNA from 1 species
AGAUUGAACGCUGGCGGCAUGCUUUACACAUGCAAGUCGAACGGUAACAGGCCGCAAGGUGCUGACGAGUGGCGAACGGGUGAGUAAUGCAUCGGAACGUGCCCAGUCGUGGGGGGAUAACGCAGCGAAAGCUGUGCUAAUACCGCAUACGAUCUAUGGAUGAAAGCGGGGGACCGAAAGGCCUCGCGCGAUUGGAGCGGCCGAUGUCAGAUUAGCUAGUUGGUGGGGUAAAGGCCCACCAAGGCGACGAUCUGUAGCUGGUCUGAGAGGACGACCAGCCACACUGGAACUGAGACACGGUCCAGACUCCGUACGGGAGGCAGCGAGUGGGAAUUUGGACAAGUGGGCGCAAGCCUGAUCCAGCAAUGCCGCGUGCGAGGAAGAAGGCC